GCCGUCGUAGCUCAGCCCGGGAGAGCGCCCGGCUGAAGACCGGGUUGUCCGGGGUUCAAGUCCCCGUGACGGCA
rnacentral:tRNA from 2 species